UAUAAUUGUAUAAAUAUUGUAUAAUUAAUCAAAUUCAUAUAUUUCUUUAAUUUAUGGUUUGAUUUGCAUUGUUUUCCAAUUCCAACGACGUAUUUUUAUUUCUAGAACAUAUACUAUUCAAAAAAUGAUUUGAUUUAUUUUUUUAAAAUUUGAUUUAUUAUUUGAAAAUCAGUCUUUCAUUUUAAGCCAGAAUGUUAUUUUAACGCAAGUAUCAUCAUAACCUAUUUAUCAAGAACUCAUCUUCAAUAUAAAAAGAAAAAGAAAGAAAAACAUCAAUCCUUCGCUCGCUCUCUACUCGAACAGCUCUAAACAUCAGCGCUCUGUUGCCAAAAACUGUUUCUCUUUCCCGCCAAAAUUCAAAUAUCUUCAAGCUUGUUACACGAUUCAAGAGAAAAACUAUAAUAACAACAAAUCGUCUGGCAUUAAUUUAAACGGAAAAAAAAUGCUUAGCAAAUAAACAAAAACGGAAAAAAAAAUGUUGCUUUGAUGAAGGUCAGUGAUUAAUGGUCCAAGAAAUUAAUCUGAAAAAUAAAAAAAAUAAAUUAAGGCUUAUGUCUUCGAAAGAAAAGAAGAAAAAAAUAAAAGGAAUGGGUUCAACGCACCUGAUAUCCAGACAUUAGAACGUUUGAUAUGUUAUAUAAUGAUGCAGCUCCAGUGUCGAGUGGCUGUCUAGACGAGCACGUGACAGGGUGCGUAGGACGCUUGCACACACUCAUGCCACCACACUUCUUUAUUUCUUUAUUUAAUGAUUUGUAACGAUGAGGAAAAAAGCAAACGAUUAAUAAGAUACAAUUUUGGCGGGAUUCUGUCAGAUCUUUGCAUUAUCCUUUCUUUAAUGAAUCGCUUUUAGAACAUUGUUUUUGUUGUUAUACAGAUAAUAAUUAACGCGAUUAAAACACGCUUGUAUGUUUGGAUAGUCAAAGGAUGAAUUUAUGGUUCAAUAAGUAUAAUUAUAUGCUCCAAUAGAUAUUUCUUACUUUAUUUAUUUAAAGUUACAAAAUAAUUAUUUAAGUUAUUAUUAAUAAAUAAAUAUUAAAUUACUAUUAUAAAAUUGUUAUAUGGAAGUUAAAGUUACGAAAUUAUUACAAUAAUAUGGAAUUUAUCUUAAGAAUAUAAGCCAAUUCUCGUAUCACAAAAAUAGCUCAAUAAUUGGACCUAGGUUGCGGUUUGAACCUAAAAUGGAAAAAUGAAGUUUACCGAAAUGAGCUUAAACCACCAUCUUGGAUUUACAGAGGAAAGGAGAAGAUCAAAAAGGAAAGAAAUUCAAGCAUUACCAUCUUGACAAGUAUCCGAAACUGAAGAGUUAUAUCUUCAUCUUGUCAACCAAUGUAGCAUUACUUGGAGAGCUGAUGUUUAUCCCAUUCAUGUGAUUAAAUAACCAUCUGUAAUAAAACAACCAAAAUGAAAUAUUAAACUUUGUAAAAAAGCAUGGUAUUUAUGACUACUAAAUCAGCCUAAGAAAGGUUCCAGCUUUCCAGAAUAGAAAGAUAGAAGAGAUCGUGGAACAUCCACUGCAGUUGAGAUCAUUGUUGGCUUUCAAUGAAAAGAAAAGUAUGCACAAGAAUUUUCGCUAAUGUUGUAUAAUGCAUUAUAAUAAGGCAUAAUAAUCAUGGAUAAUAGUAAAGAAUAGAAAAAUAAACAAGCAAAAAAAAAUUACUUGUUAUAAAAUUUUAUUUGUUAGUUUAUUUUUCUAU